rnacentral:rRNA from 1 species
UACAGAGGGGGCAAGCGUUGUUCGGAAUUACUGGGCGUAAGGAGGCGCGUGAGCGGCCUUCUAAGUCGAACGUGAAAUCCCCGGGCUCAACCCGGGAACUGCGUCCGAUACUGGAAGGCUUGAAUUCGGGAGAGGGAUGCGGAAUUCCAGGUGUAGCGGUGAAAUGCGUAGAUAUCUGGAGGAACACCGAUGGCGAAGGCAGGUCUCUGGGCAUUAACUGACGCUGAGGAGCGAAAGCAUGGGGAGCGAACAGG